UACGAAGGGGGCUAGCGUUGCUCGGAAUCACUGGGCGUAAAGGGUGCGUAGGCGGGUUUUUAAGUCAGAGGUGAAAUCCUGGAGCUCAACUCCAGAACUGCCUUUGAUACUGAAAGUCUUGAGUAUGGGAGAGGUGAGUGGAACUGCGAGUGUAGAGGUGAAAUUCGUAGAUAUUCGCAAGAACACCAGUGGCGAAGGCGGCUCACUGGCCCAUAACUGACGCUGAGGCACGAAAGCGUGGGGAGCAAACAGG
rnacentral:rRNA from 3 species